rnacentral:rRNA from 1 species
ACUACGGGUGGCAGCAGUGAGGAAUAUUGGUCAAUGGGCGGAAGCCUGAACCAGCCAAGUAGCGUGCAGGAUGACGGCCCUACGGGUUGUAAACUGCUUUUAUACGGGAAUAACGCGCCUUACGUGUAGGGCUUUGCAUGUACCGUAUGAAUAAGGACCGGCUAAUUCCGUGCCAGCAGCCGCGGUAAUACGGGAGGUCCGGGCGUUAUCCGGAUUUAUUGGGUUUAAAGGGAGCGUAGGCCGCAUGUCAAGCGUGCUGUGAAAUGGUCGGGCUCAACCCGGGCCGUGCAGCGGGGACUGGCGUGCUUGAGUCCGCGGAAAGCAGGCGGAAUUCGGCGUGUAGCGGUGAAAUGCUUAGAUAUGACGAAGAACCCCGAUUGCGAAGGCAGCUUGCUGCAGCGGAACUGACGCUGAUGCUCGAAAGCGCGGGUAUCGAACAGGAUUAGAUACCCGUGUAGUC